rnacentral:rRNA from 1 species
AACGAACGCUGGCGGCAUGCCUAACACAUGCAAGUCGAACGAGACCUUCGGGUCUAGUGGCGCACGGGUGCGUAACGCGUGGGAACCUGCCCUUAGGUUCGGAAUAACUCCCCGAAAGGGGUGCUAAUACCGGAUAAUGUCAUCGGACCAAAGAUUUAUCGCCGUUGGAUGGGCCCGCGUUGGAUUAGCUAGUUGGUAGGGUAAAAGCCUACCAAGGCGACGAUGCAUAGCUGGUCUGAGAGGAUGAUCAGCCACACUGGGACUGAGACACGGCCCAGACUCCUACGGGAGGCAGCAGUGGGGAAUAUUGGACGAUGGGCGAAAGCCUGAUCCAGCAAUGCCGCGUGAGUGAUGAAGGCCUUAGGGUUGUAAAGCUCUUUUACCCGGGAUGAUAAUGACAGUACCGGGAGAAUAAGCUCCGGCUAACUCCGUG